AAUAUGUGUCAAGGGAGGCAACUCUGAACCAGCCAAAUCGCGUGAAGGAUGACUGCUCUACGGGUUGCACACUUCUUAUUUAAGGGAAUAAAGUGAGCCACGUUAGGCUUUUUGCAUGUACUUUACGAAUAAGGAACGGCUAACUCCGUGCCAGCAGCCGCGGUAAGACGGAGGAUCCGAGCAUUAUCCGGAUUUCUUGGGUUUAAAGGGUGCGCAGGCGGAAUAUUAAGUCGGCGGUGAGAGUUUGCAGCUUAAAUGUAAAAUUGCCGUUGAAACUGGUUUUCUUGAGUGUAUAUGAAGUAGGCGGAAUUUGUAGUGUAGCGGUGAAAUGCAUAGAUAUUACAAGGAACUCCGAUUGCGAAGGCAGCUUACUAAAAUACAACUGACGCUCAGGCACGAAAGCGUGGGUAUCAAACA
rnacentral:rRNA from 1 species